GGGUUGUGAGGUUAAGCGACUAAGCGUACACGGUGGAUGCCCUGGCAGUCAGAGGCGAUGAAGGGCGUGCUAAUCUGCGAUAAGCGCCGGUAAGGUGAUAUGAACCGUUAUAACCGGCGAUACGCGAAUGGGGAAACCCAGGGUGUUUCGACACACUCUCAUUAACUGAAUCCAUAGGUUAA
rnacentral:rRNA from 1 species